rnacentral:rRNA from 1 species
GACGGAGGAUGCAAGUGUUAUCCGGAAUCACUGGGCGUAAAGCGUCUGUAGGUGGUUCGAAAAGUCCACUGUUAAAAAUUGAGGCUUAACCUCAAAGAUGCCGUGGAAACUUUCAAACUAGAGUAUGGUAGGGGUAGAGGGAAUUUCCAGUGGAGCGGUGAAAUGCGUAGAUAUCGGAAAGACCACCGAUGGCGAAGGCACUCUACUGGGCCAUUACUGACACUGAGAGACGAAAGCUAGGGGAGCAAAUGGG